UUAACACAUGCAAGUCGAACGGAAAGAUCCCUUCGGGGAUACUCGAGUGGCGAACGGGUGAGUAACACGUGGGUAAUCUGCCCUGCACUUCGGGAUAAGCCUGGGAAACUGGGUCUAAUACCGGAUAUGACCACGAAGCGCAUGCCUUGUGGUGGAAAGCUUUUGCGGUGUGGGAUGGGCCCGCGGCCUAUCAGCUUGUUGGUGGGGUGACGGCCUACCAAGGCGACGACGGGUAGCCGGCCUGAGAGGGUGUCCGGCCACACUGGGACUGAGAUACGGCCCAGACUCCUACGGGAGGCAGCAGUGGGGAAUAUUGCACAAUGGGCGCAAGCCUGAUGCAGCGACGCCGCGUGGGGGAUGACGGCCUUCGGGUUGUAAACCUCUUUCAGCAGGGACGAAGCGCAAGUGACGGUACCUGCAGAAGAAGCACCGGCCAACUACGUGCCAGCAGCCGCGGUAAUACGUAGGGUGCGAGCGUUGUCCGGAAUUACUGGGCGUAAAGAGCUCGUAGGUGGUUUGUCGCGUUGUUCGUGAAAACCGGGGGCUUAACUCUCGGCUUGCGGGCGAUACGGGCAAACUGGAGUACUGCAGGGGAGACUGGAAUUCCUGGUGUAGCGGUGGAAUGCGCAGAUAUCAGGAGGAACACCGGUGGCGAAGGCGGGUCUCUGGGCAGUAACUGACGCUGAGGAGCGAAAGCGUGGGGAGCGAACAGGAUUAGAUACCCUGGUAGUCCACGCCGUAAACGGUGGGUACUAGGUGUGGGUUUCCUUCCUUGGAAUCCGUGCCGUAGCUAACGCAUUAAGUACCCCGCCUGGGGAGUACGGUCGCAAGGCUAAAACUCAAAGGAAUUGACGGGGGCCCGCACAAGCGGCGGAGCAUGUGGAUUAAUUCGAUGCAACGCAA
rnacentral:rRNA from 1 species